CCUACGGGUGGCAGCAGUGAGGAAUAUUGGUCAAUGGACGAGAGUCUGAACCAGCCAAGUCGCGUGCAGGAUGACUGCCCUAUGGGUUGUAAACUUCUUUUAUCUGGGAAUAAAUUGUUCCACGUGUGGGAUUUUGUAUGUACCAUAUGAAUAAGGAUCGGCUAACUCCGGGCCAGCAGCCGCGGUAAUACGGAGGAUCCGAGCGUUGUCCGGAUUUGUUGGGGUUAAAGGGCGCGUAGGUGGGUUGUUAAGUCAGUUGUGAAAGUUUGGGGCUCAACCGUAAAAUUGCAGUUGACACUGGCAGUCUUGAGUACAGUAGAGGUAGGCGGAAUUCGUGGUGUAGCGGUGAAAUGCUUAGAUAUCACGAAGAACUCCGAUUGCGAAGGCAGCUCACUGGACUGCAACUGACACUGAGGCUCGAAAGUGUGGGUAUCAAACAGGAUUAGAUACCCGAGUAGUC
rnacentral:rRNA from 1 species